AAAAAAUUUAUUUUAUUUUUAGUGAAAAACUAGGCUCCAGAAAAACAUUCGCUAUUAAAUAUCACAAAAUAAAUUUUGAUAUAAAUUGUAUCUAAAAGAAUAACAGACACAAAUAAUAAUGCAAAAAAAUGUAUGAUACAUCUUUUAUUUUAUAUUAUUUUGUUAGCAAGAAAUAUUUUCUUUUUGUUCUGUUUUUUAGAUCGAGAGAAAAAAAAUCAUAACAUGAAUCACUGAUUGAUAUUACAUAAUAAUAACAUACGAUUCAAAGAACUUCAUAUUAUUAGAUGCAAAUUUUCAUGCAACAUUACAUGUUAAUAAUGCGAGAAUUUAGAGUUAUCUCACUGCGAAAAUGGAUAUCACGAAAAAUAACUUUUACGAUCUACUGAUUUGAGCCACGAAUUUAGAACCACGACAAAAAACUCUAACUCUAACCUAAUUCUCAAAAGAAUAACUCAUUUUUCUUCUCUUUGUGUUUGCUCUAUAUCUCUCUGUAUAUCUUUUUUUCAGCUGAGCGUGGGGUUAUAUAAUUUUGGCUGAGAGUCUGGUGCUAAUUAAAAGGAACGUAAUAGAGUUGGAUUAGGAUUUAAUUUAAAAAUUAGUUGAGAAAAUUGGGGUUGAGAUAAGGAUAUAAAAUAAAUAAAUAAUAAUAAUAGCAAAUUAGCAAAACAAAAUAAAUGAAAAAAAUUAUGUAAAGUUUAAAAAUAAUCGUUCAAAAGAAGUAAAAAAAAAUAAAAAUAAAUAGAUGGGAUGAGACUUUUUAGGAAAAUAAGUUAGGAAGUAGGGAAUAAUUAGGAUAAGGUAAAAAAAGUUUGAAAUUUUUAGGACUCCUCUUUUCUUUUCUUUUUUCUAUACUUUUUCAUAAUAUUUUCUAUAUUAUUAUUAUUUUUAGACUAGAUAUAAUUAAUAAAUAACUUAAAUUCCCAACUUCUAUUUAUCAAUUUUUUUUUAUUAUUAAACUAUAAUUGAUCUUAUAAUUUUUAUUAAUUUACAAUUUAUUAUUAUUAUUUUAUUUUAUUGUAAAUAUAAACCUUUUUAAAUUGGUGUAAAAUAUAUUAUAUUUUUGGUAAAAAAUUAGGUUUUCACAAUAUAUAUAUAUAUAUAUAUAUAUAUAUAUAUAUAUAUAUAUAUAUAUAUAUACAUACAUACACACACAUACAUACAUACAUACAUACACACACAUAAAAAAUUAGGUUUUCACAAUAUAUAUAUAUAUAUAUAUAAUAUAUAUAUAUAUAUAUAUAUAUAUACAUACACACACAUACAUACAUAUAUACAUACAUUUUGCUAUAAUUUUACAUACAUACUAAUUUUUUCAUGCAACAGAGACUUAUGGAUAUUAUAACAAAAUCAAGAUUUGUAUUUGACAUUUUCAUAAGCAAAAUAAGCAGGAAUCGAGACAAAACAUGCAUACAAUCUGAGAUCCCAAGAAUAACAACACCAAAUCACACAAUUAACAAUGUAAUGUGCAAUAAUAGUGCAACAGGAUCAAAUCGAACAUGUAAAAGCCAAGAUUUCUGACAUAAUAGCCAAAGAUGCAACUAAAAAAAAAUUUAGAUUAAGG
rnacentral:lncRNA from 1 species